rnacentral:lncRNA from 12 species
CAUUCCACAUGCAGCCUAAGAGGGCAACUUGAGCCCCACUCCCUGCUCUGAGCAUCAUGCAUGGAGCAGGCUCUGGACAGGAAGGGUGUGGGGGUCUCCAGGCAGGGCAAGCAUGGGGCUGCUGAUCCUGUCUGUCAGUGUGCUCAAGGCACACAUGGUGGGCAUGCACUCCCAGGCCAGAGGAGCUGAGACACCAGUGUGAAUCCCAGCUUCCUGCUGCACAGCACUGGAGCAGCAGCAGAC